AGUCGAUCGUGAUUGCUGCUACAUGUCGUAAUCGCUGAAUAAGGUGCGAUACUCGACGUCAAUCCUGACCAUCAAAAGGAUCUAUAAAUAAGAGUCCCUUAGUCCUUGUUUCCUAUUCCAUUGCCUUCGCCCUGCCUUAGGUCCUUUGCUUCCUUACCUUCACCAUAGAGAAGUUAGGCUCCACCGCAGGCGAGUUGUCUCCUCCGACGUCGGUUGCCCGUUGUCGAUUUUCAGUCACCACCGGCAUCAUUGUCGGUCAUUUCUCUCUUGAGGUUCUUUCCCAUGUCUUCUUUCUUUUCUUGAGUUUUGCUUUCAAGUUUUUCCUUUUUCUUUUCAUGGCUUCUACUAGCAGAGAGUUCGAAGAUGAGAAUCUGGUCAGAGACUGGAGAUCUCAAACUCCAACCAUCCAGGGG
rnacentral:lncRNA from 1 species